rnacentral:tRNA from 1 species
AUUUUUUUAGUAUGAAAGUAUAACUAACUUCCAAUUAGUAGGUCCUAUAUAGGAAAAAAUA